UACGGAGGAUCCAAGCGUUAUCCGGAUUCAUUGGGUUUAAAGGGUGCGUAGGCGGGAUAGUAAGUCAGUGGUGAAAUCCUGCAGCUUAACUGCAGAACUGCCAUUGAUACUGCUAACCUAGAGUACAGCUGAUGUGGGCGGAAUGUGUCGUGUAGCGGUGAAAUGCUUAGAUAUGACACAGAACACCGAUUGCGAAGGCAGCUCACAAAACUGUAACUGACGCUGAGGCACGAAAGUGUGGGGAUCGAAC
rnacentral:rRNA from 1 species